GACGAACGCUGGCGGCGUGCUUAACACAUGCAAGUCGAACGGAAAGGCCCUGCUUUUGUGGGGUGCUCGAGUGGCGAACGGGUGAGUAACACGUGAGUAACCUGCCCUUGACUUUGGGAUAACUUCAGGAAACUGGGGCUAAUACCGGAUAGGAGCUCCUGCUGCAUGGUGGGGGUUGGAAAGUUUCGGCGGUUGGGGAUGGACUCGCGGCUUAUCAGCUUGUUGGUGGGGUAGUGGCUUACCAAGGCUUUGACGGGUAGCCGGCCUGAGAGGGUGACCGGCCACAUUGGGACUGAGAUACGGCCCAGACUCCUACGGGAGGCAGCAGUGGGGAAUAUUGCACAAUGGGCGGAAGCCUGAUGCAGCAACGCCGCGUGCGGGAUGACGGCCUUCGGGUUGUAAACCGCUUUCGCCUGUGACGAAGCGUGAGUGACGGUAAUGGGUAAAGAAGCACCGGCUAACUACGUGCCAGCAGCCGCGGUGAUACGUAGGGUGCGAGCGUUGUCCGGAUUUAUUGGGCGUAAAGGGCUCGUAGGUGGUUGAUCGCGUCGGAAGUGUAAUCUUGGGGCUUAACCCUGAGCGUGCUUUCGAUACGGGUUGACUUGAGGAAGGUAGGGGAGAAUGGAAUUCCUGGUGGAGCGGUGGAAUGCGCAGAUAUCAGGAGGAACACCAGUGGCGAAGGCGGUUCUCUGGGCCUUUCCUGACGCUGAGGAGCGAAAGCGUGGGGAGCGAACAGGCUUAGAUACCCUGGUAGUCCACGCUGUAAACGGUGGGUACUAGGUGUGGGGUCCAUUCCACGGGUUCCGUGCCGUAGCUAACGCUUUAAGUACCCCGCCUGGGGAGUACGGCCGCAAGGCUAAAACUCAAAGGAAUUGACGGGGCCCCGCACAAGCGGCGGAGCAUGCGGAUUAAUUCGAUGCAACGCGUAGAACCUUACCUGGGUUUGACAUGGAUCGGGAGUGCUCAGAGAUGGGUGUGCCUCUUUUGGGGUCGGUUCACAGGUGGUGCAUGGCUGUCGUCAGCUCGUGUCGUGAGAUGUUGGGUUAAGUCCCGCAACGAGCGCAACCCUUGUUCACUGUUGCCAGCACGUUAUGGUGGGGACUCAGUGGAGACCGCCGGGGUCAACUCGGAGGAAGGUGGGGAUGACGUCAAGUCAUCAUGCCCCUUAUGUCCAGGGCUUCACGCAUGCUACAAUGGCUGGUACAGAGGGUGGCGAGCCUGUGAGGGUGAGCGAAUCUCGGAAAGCCGGUCUCAGUUCGGAUUGGGGUCUGCAACUCGACCUCAUGAAGUCGGAGUCGCUAGUAAUCGCAGAUCAGCAACGCUGCGGUGAAUAAAUUCCCGGGGCU
rnacentral:rRNA from 1 species